rnacentral:rRNA from 1 species
UACGUAGGGACCAAGCGUUGUUCGGAUUUACUGGGCGUAAAGGGCGCGUAGGCGGCGUGACAAGUCACUUGUGAAAUCUCCGGGCUUAACCCGGAAAGGUCAACCGAUACUGCGGGGCUAGAGUGCGGAAGGGGCAACUGGAAUUCUUGGUGUAGCGGUGAAAUGCGUAGAUAUCAAGAGGAACACCUGCGGCGAAGGCGGGUUGCUGGGCCGACACUGACGCUGAUGCGCGAAAGCUAGGGGAGCGAACGGG